rnacentral:rRNA from 1 species
UACGAAGGGUGCUAGCGUUGUUCGGAAUUACUGGGCGUAAAGCGCGCGUAGGCGGCUUGACAAGUCAGUGGUGAAAUGCCUGGGCUCAACCCAGGAACUGCCUUUGAAACUGUCAAGCUGGAGUGUCGGAGGGGAUAGCGGAAUUGCUAAUGUAGCGGUGAAAUGCGUAAAUAUUAGCAGGAACACCGGUGGCGAAGGCGGCUAUCUGGACGACAACUGACGCUGAGGCGCGAAAGCGCGGGGAUCAAACAGG